AUCUCUUCCUCUACAUUCAACAAGACCUUCACUUUCCCACCCUUGUUGUGUCCUAUUUUAUUUUCCCAAUUUCUUCAAUUUUAAUUAAAUGUACCCACUAUAAUUUGUUUUACAUGAUACUCUCUCGCUGUUUAAACUAUACAUAUAGGGUUAGUAACAUUUCAUUUGAUAUUAAUAUUUCCUCCCUCCAGAUAUACAACCCAUUUUCCUCAACCAGUCCAUAUACAUUCCAAAUGUUCUUCAUUUCCCUUAUUGUCUUUUCCAAAAUCCCUUGAUAGAAUCAGGUUGUUUUAACCAAAAGAAUCUUGAUCACCCACUCAAAAUCAAAUAGCACAUCUACACAUGGAACUUGUAGAUUGUCUCUGCUCAAAAUCCUAGUCCAUCCCGAUGUAUCAGGUUUAUUGUUCCCUGUAUGGUGUCUUCUUAAAGGAGUAGUGUUUAAUUAGGAACCACUCUUUAAGUCCUCUGUUAAGUCUUUGGGCAGCAGCAAUUAUGCAAAUGAGAACCUGGUAACUGCCUUUGAG